AUUGAACGCUGGCGGCAGGCCUAACACAUGCAAGUCGAACGGUAACAGGAAGAAGCUUGCUUCUUUGCUGACGAGUGGCGGACGGGUGAGUAAUGUCUGGGAAACUGCCUGAUGGAGGGGGAUAACUACUGGAAACGGUAGCUAAUACCGCAUAACGUCGCAAGACCAAAGAGGGGGACCUUCGGGCCCCUUGCCAUCGGAUGUGCCCAGAUGGGAUUAGCUAGUAGGUGGGGUAACGGCUCACCUAGGCGACGAUCCCUAGCUGGUCUGAGAGGAUGACCAGCCACACUGGAACUGAGACACGGUCCAGACUCCUAAGGGAGGCAGCAGUGGGGAAUAUUGCACAAUGGGCGCAAGCCUGAUGCAGCCAUGCCGCGUGUAUGAAGAAGGCCUUCGGGUUGUAAAGUACUUUCAGCGGGGAGGAAGGGAGUAAAGUUAAUACCUUUGCUCAUUGACGUUACCCGCAGAAGAAGCACCGGCUAACUCCGUG
rnacentral:rRNA from 1 species